CAACUUUAGAAAGCAUGAACUAAGCUUGGAAUUAUGGCCACCGUGCAGUAAUAGCAUCUUCUAGGCAGCACAAGGAUUUGGAGAUUCAGAAAACCAACUUGCAAAAGACCAACUGAUCAAGUUCAUCCUCCCAGUUCCAUAUGAAUGUGGCAUAAAGACAACAGCCAACAGAAAUUCCUGAUGUGUUAAAGAAAUAGGAAACAGGUGCAAAUUUUCAUCCUUGAGAAAUCAGAUGUUUCUUCAACUCAACACACUGAAAAUAAGACUGAUUCGGGAAUUUUGAUUCCAUCACCUACCUGGU
rnacentral:lncRNA from 1 species